rnacentral:lncRNA from 1 species
GGGGUGGACCAAGAAGCAGGGUCGAACUCUUUGAGUUGGGUGUUAGGUCGUUGGUAGCAGGCCAUCCAUGUCACGGCGGCAUUGAGAACAAAAAAAUGGUUGCUGGAGGGAGGCUGAUUGUGAUGGAUCUGAGGCAGAGGAUACACACCGGCCAUGGUCCAUGAGAAGUAUAUAUCGGAGUAUAUCCGUAUAAGCACAUUGGGGGAGAAAUAGCUAUUUGCGGCCUUUUUAGUUGCUCAUGUUUGUGGAUUUGUACCAACGUAAGUGCUGUACUUCAUUGUGUCCUUUCUAAUGCAGAUUAUCUUAUGUGCUUCCUUUUAGGAUAUUAUAUUAAUCUUGUGUUUUAGGAGAUGGCUAUGCUAUUGAAGAUUUUCUCAUGGACGUCUUAAAUUGAAAAGGCCAUAAGCUACCAGUUCACAUGAUAAUUUGGUAGCUGAAACUUUAUUAUUUUUUGGCUGCAAAAUAAGUAUGAAUUUUCAAAAUUAGACAAAAGUCUAAAAAUUUAGAAGUGUGUACUGUGAAUAAAUAAACCACCAUUUUAUCAAGCAUGCGAUGCUUGUUCGUUCCAUGUUUUAACAUGGUGCCCACCUCAUCGUCCAUCAAUUCUUGUGUAAGAUUUAUAGUUAGAGAAUUGUAAACAUGAGACUUUAUUUUUAAAAGAAAACACCUUUACCUGUAAAAGACCAAUAAAAGUGCAUGUAUGAAUGUAUUUGAAAAGAAUUACAGUUUGCGUCGCACUCUUAUCAUAUGAUAAGAUUCUUCUUAACUUGGUAGCUGUCAAGUACUCAUACUAUAUCUACGUAAAUAAAUAGUCUGUCUUUACUAUUCGUAAGCUACUAAUCAAUCGAUCUUUUGGAUAAAUUCCUUGUUCACUUAGGCCUCCAUUUUUCAUAGGCAAUAUUAGAGUCUUCAUCUUCAAGAGUUGCAAUUACUUUUUACUUUUGCAUGCACCAGUUUUUUGUUCUCGCAGGUAUUUUUGCUUUCUUUCUACAACACUUGUCCCGGUGCGUCCAUCCUCCACGUCAUCUAAUAAUACAAUACAUCUUCGUUUAGCAUAGUCAUUGAGGGGUCCAUGUGAUGAUGAUAUUUGUCUCAAUGCCUAUCUUUGUUCAGCAUAGUCCCAUUAAUAUUGUGUGGUUCUUUUUUCUUAGGCACCAGUUCACAUAACCUUUUCCUUGGUCGGUCAUCAUUAUUCUGUGACUGCAAAAUGAAACGCAUUUAAAAAUAAUACAUGCUUAAAAAUCUAAAAGUGUGUAUGGUGGAAACAUUAAUCUCCCUUUUAGCUCACAUGUCUUGCUUCUUCGUUUUUUGUUCCAACGCGGUGUCCACUUUGUCAUCUAUCAACUGUUUGGCAUACUGCAAGAUAAGCCAGUGAGGAAGAACAGAAAAGAUAGUACUUAGUUAAUUAUUUUGAUGAAUUAAAUGCACCUUUACCUCCUCAGCUUUAUUGUUCAAGUACAACAUCUCUAGCAAGGCACAAAUCUUCUUUUUACUGCCUAGUUUUGCUUGCCAAAAAUAAGAUUACUGCUGUUGAGCUUGAAUCUAAAGAUAAUUUAACCUCGCCAUUAGAUGACAGACAUCGCACAUCUGAGUCUUCAUCGUUAAAUGUUGUAUUUUUGACUUUUGCUUCGAUGUGUUAUUAGUAGACCAGAAUAGAUAAUGUUUCAUACUUGUGAAGAAGUUCUUGAAUUUUGGAUAUAUCUAGAUCCCUACGUAUUCUUGUGGCACAUGUUGACUUUACGCACAAACCCAUCAACAAUUAAUCUAUUACAUAUUUUUGUUUUGUAAUUAAAAGAUGAGAUUUCGAAAUUAUUGGACUUACAAUUGCAUUUUUGCACCAUUGUUUAGGUCACUGUAAGGCCGGUUUGGUUUUGGAGUACAUAUUCAUCCAAAUAAUAAGCAAACAUUCUGAUAUCGUAACUUUGGUUUCAGCCGAAGAUGUUAAGCCUGAAAAUUUAAUGCCAACCGCAAUGGAGGAAGUUAGAACUUAAGACAUUGGUAUACACUCUGCAUUUACUCUUGUAUAGGAAAAUAAAUAUCACAGAUAUAGGACAGUUUUGUGUUCUUUGUUUUUUUUUGUUCCACAUGCUUCAUCUGGGUAAGUAGUCCGAUGACAUCUGUCAAUUUGGUGAUUAAUUACCUCAUAGUUAUAAUGAUUGAUUAAACAAAAAUCUGAUUUAUAACUGUAACAUACCUGAGCAUUGCUUACCUUUAUAUGCUUCUUGUUGUACUAUGACCUUGGUAUCGGACUCAAAGUAGUAAUUCUGAAAAACUUUCAAUAAUCCUACAUCUGUCAAAUUGGUGAUUAAUUGCCACAUAGGUAGAAUGAUGGAUUAGCCCAAAAUCUGAUUUACAACUAUGACUUACCUGAGCAUUAUUUAUCUUUUUAUAUGAUUGUUCUAGUAUGUCCUUGCUAGCAAACUCAAAGUAGUAGUUAUGAAAAACUUCUGAUUAUCUUUUCACCUCCUCUCUCUGUGUAUUGUAUGCAAACUUUUUUCUAAUAUCAUUGUUCAGCGUGCCAUAUUUUGUGCCUCCCACAACCUAUUGCUAAAUGAAUAAAUAUAUUUCUUAGUUAUCCUUUGAUUUUUAAGUAUCCAUCUGAUUUUUACGUAUGGUAGCAUGAGUUGUUUGGUCCUCUAUGAAAAUAACUACUAUAUACUUAUCAACUAUUGUUUGAUACAGUACAAUAGUCCACAUUUCAAAUUGUAUAUAAUAAACCUGCUCAUAUGUGAAGAUCACAUCAAGACUCAGUCAUCGAUUGUUUUUGAAACAAUAGUCUGCAAUUAAAUAUGUAUAGCAUAAACAUGUACAUCCAUCAAGACCACAUCAAGGCUCAUAAGUUCAUUGGUUGUAGGAUUGAUUGUAUCCCAUGUUCUCGUUACUUUCACUAAAACAUUCCAGUUUUGGUCUCUUGUUGAAGUUUCUCAACUUCUUGUAUUCCCUAGCGUUUUCACUUCAAAAGGAUUAAAACGCAUUGCUUCAAAAGGAUUGAAAAAGUUGUUGUCAAUUGAUAACAUAAAUAUGAAGAUUUUAGCUAAAAAAGUGAGUUCAUAGUAAUACUAAUUACUAACCUUGUUGAUUCAGGUGAGAAGAAAACUCAGAUGGCUGGGUGUAACUUUUGUAGAAAUCGAGUUGCAUACCACAUCAUAAUUUGGGCUGGCUUCGAUAUUUGUUGUGCUCUGAGUCUGAACAUCUCGUGUCAGAGUCUGUUGGCUUCAAUUGUCCUGGUGGUGGCAAGUCAUGGCAUCGUAGAGCUGGUUGGCUUCAGUUUUCUUGGUGUGGCGCAGAGUCGUGAGUUUGCUGGGUAUCUUAGAUUUCCAUGGUGGGCGAUGGCUGGGUGUAACUUCUGUAGAAAUCGAGUUGCAUACCACUUCAUAAUUUGGGCUGGCUUCGAUAUUUGCUAUGCGCCGAGUCUGAACAUCUCACGUCAGAGUCUGUUGGCUUAAAUUGUCCUGAUGGUGGCAUUGUCGAGUCAUGGCUUCGUAGAGCUGGUUGGCUUUAGUUUUCUAGGUGUGGCGCAGAGUCGCGAGUUGCUGGGUAUCUUAGAUUUCCAUGGUGGGCGUGUGCUGGCUGAUGGAUGUGGCAGGCUGUGUAUUUUUAUGGAUGAGUUCUCGCCGUUGUCUUUAUGGAGUCCUUGUAUGUUUAUAUUUCCAAUUAAAGGCUAUAUGUGACAACAUGAUGAUGGAUGCGG